UACGUAGGGUGCGAGCGUUAAUCGGAAUUACUGGGCGUAAAGCGUGCGCAGGCGGUUUUGUAAGUCAGAUGUAGAAACGUCCCCGGGCUCAACCGUGGGAACUGCAUUUGAGACUGCAAAGCUAGAGUGUGGCAGGAGGGGGUGGAAUUCCACGUGUAGCAGUGAAAUGCAUAGAGAUGUGGAGGAACACCGAUGGCGAAGGCACG
rnacentral:rRNA from 1 species